GCCCUUAUAGCUCAGUGGUAGAGCGCGUCACUCGUAGUGCUAAAUUGCAUACUGCUGAUAUGACGAGGUCUGUCGUUCAAUCCGGCAUGGGGGCA
rnacentral:tRNA from 1 species